rnacentral:lncRNA from 1 species
AGACAUUAAUGGAGAAGUAUCUAUACGAAAAAGAUAGAACCUUUGAAGUGUUUCCUCAUUUAAAAGCGACAUAAUAACAAAUUAAUUUAAAAUGAAGCGAAAGAAUAGGCCAUUACAUAUACAUUAAAUACCAAAUUGAGGCUUAGAAUAUCACAUAGAAAUUAAGCAAGUCAGGCAAACCAGUUUUUGCACCAACCAUCAUAGAAUUAAAAUUAUAAAUUAUAUUGUGAAGUUCUAGAAAAAGGAUAGCAAAACAAAAAUUAUGAAAAAUAGUAAAUUAACCUAAGAGGAUGGAUUUGUUCAGUGUCAGGAUGAUCAACAAUUGAGGCUCUUUUCUUGUUAGGAAAUUAUAGGAGAAAUGCAGAGAAUAUAAAAACAAUAUAAUUUAGGAAAACAUGAGAUACAUAUCAAGUUAGGUUAAUUAAGAGUGAAUAUUAGAAUUUUGGUGAAACUUGGAAGAAAAGAAAGAUGAAAAGUUUAGACAUUAAUGGAGAAGUAUCUAUACGAAAAAGAUAGAACCUUUGAAGUGUUUCCUCAUUUCAAAGCGACAUAAUAACAAAUUAAUUUAAAAUGAAGCGAAAGAAUAGGCCAUUACAUAUAGAUUAAAUACCAAAUUGAGGCUUAGAAUAUCACAUAGAAAUUAAGGAAGUCAGGCACACCAGUUUUUGCACCAACCAUCAUAGA